UAUGAGGAAGUGACAUCAAGUUAUAAACGAAAUUACUUAAAUUUUUAAAACAAUAUUCAUUUAAACCAUUUUUAAGAUAACUGACCUUUUGCCAAAAUUCUGAUAUGUCCAUUAUUUCCCUAAGAUUAUGAUCAUUAGAAAAUCUUAGCAUUUUCCACUCCAUGACCAAAUCUUCUGGAUCACCCUGAACCAAGUAAGAAAAACUGUUCAUUAAAGGUAAUAGUGGCACAUCAGAAUCCGACAAAACACUUCUCGGAGUUAUUAUAGACAAGUUUUUUAAAUCAUUAUUACUCAGAUCAAAUCUUAGUAGCAAUUGUUUUAAAAGUUCUAAAUAAAAAUUCAAAGCGUUUGUUUUUAUCUCAUUCCUAUCAAAAUUUGAGAGGUUUGAUUUUUUGAUAUAAUCCUCGGCUUUGCUUCCCAGAAAAACAUCUGUAAUAGAUUUUCCCAUUGAAUUCGCUAAAUCGUAUGAUUUUAUUCCGCUAAUUUCCAAAUAGCACGAAAGAAAAUAUAAUUGAAGUGCGUCCCACUGUUCCACCACUCGAUUUAUAACGUUUUCUAAGGAGAGCCAUCUUGUCAACGAAAUACCUAAUAUUUUGUGCGGUGGUACUGCACCAUAGUCUUGAAAUUCUUUAAAGUUAUUGAUACGAUUAGCACUGCAUAGGCAGAGCAUAGAUGCAACGAAUGACAAGUGCAUUUAAGAAAAAACGUAUUGGAGUUGCUCUUAAGCUUGGCUUGCAGACCAUUCACCUCACCGGCCAUAACACUUGCACCGUCAGUUGACAGUCCAAUUAAAUUUUCAAAUGGAAUAUCAUUUUCAGAAACAAAUGUCUUAAUGCUGUUGUAAAUGGUUUCAGCGUCACAUUUUAUAAGUUCAAUCAAACCCAAAAAUCUAUCUUUAAUAAUUUUGGAAUUCUUAUCGACAUACCUUAUAACUAAAACUAAAGACUUUCUGGUUGAAAUAUCAGUCGUCUCGUCUGUUAUCAAGGAAAAUUUAGUAGUUUGCAGCUCUGAAACUAUUUUCUGCUUCGCUUUUGUUCCUAGCGUCUCUGCAAGUUGAGUUGCUUUCGUUCGUCCGCACUUGAUUGAUUUUGCAAUUUCCGAAUCGGGACAGCAUUCUUUUAGCAGAUUUGGUAAAAAAUCCAUUAAUAAAAAUGGGAGAUUGUGAGUUAUUAAAAAAUGGACGAGCGUGAGCUCAGCCCAAUAAACUUUUUUUUCAAAACUCGACUUGUCCCGCUGCAAGCACGAAUCAAUUUGUAUUUGAUUUCUUUUUUUUCCAUGUUUUUGAUAUGGCUUUCUUUUCUUUCGUGUUGUUUUAAGUGACCUAAAUGGUUGGUUAAAAUUUUGUCACAAGCAGCACAAAAGCUUUUGUCAGCUUUAUGGUUAAGCCAAUUGAAUUUUUGUAGCCAUUCCUGUCUAAAUUUUCUCUCCGCUUCGUGUUUUUUUUGGUCCACAUUUUGAUCACUAAGAAAUUAUACAUAGGUAAUUGUAAUUUCAUGAAACCUUAUAAUAAAGUGAAAAAUACCAAUUGCUUGAAGAUGACGGCUCAUCUGCAUUUGUGGAACUUUCUACUGCCGACUCAGUCCUUGGCUUUUUAAUAACAAACCUAGAUGUUAUUUAAGUUUUACAGAUAUGACGAGAUAAUUAUUAUUUAAAAUAUUAUUACUUACCUAUCCAUUACUUAUUUGUUGGAAAAAACGAGAAAGAGCUGCACACAAAGUACUUUAC